ACGGGAGGGACUGUCCUGCCUGCGGCGUGCGGUGGCACUGGGCCGCGGGAAGCAGGAGCGGCUCCGCAGCUGAACUGCAGAGUCAUCACGGCCGCGCUCCCCCGGGACCUGCUGCCGUCCUGGUUUGCCCAGGGCAGGGCAGGGCAGGGCAGGGCACAGACUGGGCUGGCUGCUGGCACCGGCCACGUGUCCCCAAAUCCCCGAGGAGAUGGAGCAGCAACCACUGCAGCGUGGCUGUGAUCUCCAGUAGCCCCAGUUUAACCAGUGGAACAGCGGGGUCCCAGUGACUCAGCUUUGCCACACGGCAGGGGCAGGGGGCAGUAGAAGUGGCAGUGGCAGUGGCAGUGGCAGUGAGUCCCUGCCUCCAGUGCGGGGACAGUUUGGGGCGCUGCCACCAUUUCUGGUGGGGUGGUUCCGAUGCCCCCCUGUGCCCGGUUCAGCUCCUCUGCACCGCAAGGGGACAGGGACAGGGGUGUGUGCCCAACCCUCCCGCCAGUCUCCUGCCAGCCCGGCUGGGCUGUGCCUGAGGACGGUGCCCUGUUUCUCUCCCUUGCUGCGUUGGUUGUUUCUUUUGCAGCCGCUAAUGACUGACCUGAGGUCUGUUCACACAGUCCCCUCGCUGCCUCCACAGCACGGGGCCACAAGGAACAGGGGACAUUGCACAGCACUCCUGUAGCUGGCUACCACAGUUUAUCUUGUGCCUGGUGCAUGUGGAAGCCGCUGCUGGCAGCGUGGCCCUGACUAACUCAGCUCUGAUCACCGUGGGCCGGUACCUGCAGGGUCCCCUGGCCCCAGCCGAGGCAGGGGUGGGCAGUGGGUGUCACAGGGGGCUCUGCCAUCAGGUGAUGGAGCACAGCUUUGCUUUCUGCCCGUCUGUCAGACAGGUAAAUGUCCUUGGACUCUGCAGGGAUCCUGCCAGGGUGAAGGACCCGGACCCUGCCCGCUGGUGUGGUUUUGGCACAUGGCAAGGCACUGACUGCGUUCAGGGCUGCCAUGAACCAGCCAAGCUCUGUGUGCCAGCACAGCAGGGCUCGUGAGGACAUCCCAGACUGGCUGUUGGAGGGACACAGCACCCCUCAGCCAUGGCUCACGGCAGCUCUGUCAGGAGAGAUCCAGGCAGGGCCCAGCUCUGGCUGCUGUCUCCUGGCUUUGCCUUGUGCUCACUGCCCAUAUCGAGGGCUUCCCAGACCACCUGCUGUCACUGGCUGAUGUCACUGUCCCCUCACAGCAGCUCUCCUGCCUGCACUGCAAGGCAGAGCCAGAUGGAGUCUCCAUAGCACUGCCACCUCCCCUGGGCAUCCCUGCUCUGCACUAACUAACCCCAUCCUGCUCCCUUAGCUGGGGGUCUCUCUCAGGCUGAUGGGGUCUCCCAACCUCCACCUUAUCCCACUAAUUCCCCAGCUGUCCUUCCUCCACACAGCUGGCACCAGGAUGGGUCUUUGGGCUGAAGAUCCUGUGUUUGAUGGGAGGGGGAGACAGGGCACAGUGGGGAGCACAGGGACAGGAAUGGGACAGGAGGACAAGCCAGGCCCAGGGUGGGCAGGUUCAGGGCUCAUGCACAGGACAGGAGCACCACCAGCCCUGGCUGGAGUUGUCAGAGCCCACCACUGUGAGAGACUCCCCUCCCUGCCCCACAGACCCCCUUUUCUGCAGAAGGGGGUGCACAGGGGGAUCUCCCCAGUCCGGUCACACAGGGGGGCCGUGGCACCACAAGUCACCUCGGUGGCCCAGAGGAUGCAGCUGGCAAGUGUCACCCUGCACCCUCCUGGGGACAGGCCACCAGUGCCUGUGGGUGGCUGCUCUCCCCUCAGAGCAGGGCACCGAACAACCAGGUUGUUCCUUUGCUCUGCUCCUGCACCUCAGGGCUCCCUGUCCCUGCUCCCCACUUCCCGUGGCCGGUGGGAGUUCAUCUGUCUAUGCAUCCCUCUUUGCUGGUGUCCCCAGAGCUGUCUGCAGAGGGGCAAAAUGUGCAGACCCUCCUCCAGCUGUGGGACGUGGGACGAGGCCACCCCAGCAGUGACAAGGCAGAGAUCCAGCCCGGGGUGCACUGUCCUGCCCAGGGUGCUCCAGCCCGAGCUGGCCAGAGCUGCUCCUGCUCUGUGGGCACGGCCACCACGGGGCUGGACACUGGCCAGGAGUCCUAUAAGUGCCCACAGCCCCGAGGAUGUCCCCACGGCCCCGAGGAUGUCCCCACAGCCCCGAGGAUGCCCCCACUGCCUGUAAUGUCUACUGUGAACAUGGCAAGUGUGCAA